UACAGAGGGUGCGAGCGUUAAUCGGAAUUACUGGGCGUAAAGCGCGCGUAGGCGGCUUUUCAAGUCGAUUGUGAAAUCCCCGGGCUUGACCUGGGAACUGCAGUCGAGACUGUCUAGCUAGAGUAUGGGAGAGGGAAGUGGAAUUUCAGGUGUAGCGGUGAAAUGCGUAGAUAUCUGAAGGAACAUCAGUGGCGAAAGCGACUUCCUGGACCAAUACUGACGCUCAUGUGCGAAAGCGUGGGGAGCAAACAGG
rnacentral:rRNA from 1 species